rnacentral:misc_RNA from 2 species
UGUAAGAGCGAGCUUGCUCGCGAUCGCGAUAGGUCUGUCACAUCCAUUUUGGCUGGUACCCCGCUAUCGCGAGCAAGCUCGCUUCCACA